AGGUUGCUUUUCAUAUAUCCAGUGCAAGGAUUAGCUGGAGACAACGAAGAAGGAUCGACAGAUAAACGAUUGGGUUUUUGUAUUUCUGGGUCUGGAUGCUCUGGAUCUGCUCAAUAGCAUCGCUCAAUCUCCAUAUGACCAAGACAAGUUCCGCCUCAUGAAUUCAUUGUGAGAAUGCAUCCUCAAUAAGGUCACCCAAUCCCUCUUUCUCUCUUAAUUCACACUUGUUUCUGUGAAUAUGUGCUUGGUUUGUUUCUCAUUGAAUUUGAUAUCUGUGAGAAACCCAGUAAUUUGAUUAAACUAGUGACACAGAAUUGGGUAUGUUCUUGGGUUAUGAGUUGGAAUUUUAUAUAUUUUGAGUGUAUUUGAUUGCAGAAGGGCUGAAACCCAGAUUGAGAUUUGUUCAAGGCCAGAUAUUUAUGCUUAUUUUACCUUGGAAAGUUUAAAGCUUGAUUUAGAUUCAUGAAGUUGAUAUGAUAUAUGUGCCUAUUUCUGUACUGGUAAUAACCAAUUUAAUCAUGGAUCGAAUUGCUUUGUGGUUCCGGUUUGUUACUGUGUAAUGUCCUACUUAACCUGGAUUAUGGCUUGCAUAGUCCAGGUACAAGCUUUGCUGCUGUGAAGUUAUCAAAGGAUCAAGCACCAAAGAAGUAAAGUAGUAGUGGAUGCGAAGGUGGUCAACAAAGGCGAUACUCCAAAUUUGAUAGCAGGACACAAGUUAGAAGCCGCCAUUGAACAACUAGGUAUCAAUGUUUCUGCAAAGUAGCUCUUGACUCAGGGUUAUCAAUCAGCGGAUUUAUCAACUGCUUACUUCAGUAUGGUGUAACUUUUGUUUA